CUGUAAACUACAUAAUACAGAAAAAUAAUCACUGAUCAAUAAAAGCCGCACGUGAAAGAUUUUUAUUAAGGAUGAUUCAACAAAGUAAACUUUCUUAUUGGAAUAGGUUAUUUCUUUAAAAUAUUUCAGACAGUAGUUAAAUUGUUUUAGGUUAACAGCAGUGCUGCCUUUGGUAGCGCUGUUUUCAUAAGUUUCUGUUAAACCCUUUUAUUUUAAACUGAGGCCCCUCCAGAUAAGUUGCUGCUUCAAGAGCGUCGCAUCAUAUUGGUUAGUGGUCCUUCCUGUAGUUUACUUUUGCAAGAUGAUGCCAAAGUAUUGCAAGAUCCCAAAUUACUUUUGUGAGAUCCUGCACAAGUAUGUCGGGAUCCUUUUUCUUUUUUUUUUUUCUCGAUGUCCCUUACACAGUUAAGUAUGUUAGUGCCAGGUGUGAAUGAGUUGAUGCCUAAGACUCCUUUCUUUAACUAAGAAAGAAAUUAGUUCUCGUGUUGCACCAUUAUAUUGGCAGAGUUGACCACUAAAGACUGCUCACUGUUUUUAUUUCUGACGACACUCAAUUUAAAAAAGCUUUGAAGAAGCCCCCGCCACUAUUGUUUGUGGUACACCCUUUUUGGUAGAAAAAAGAAACGGUGACAGUGACAGACAAGAUGAUUUAUAUUUUUAAAAAACAUCAUGGAAUGAGACGUCACAAUUUAGAUUCCCUGUGUUAGAACCCUUGCAACAUAGUCAAGCCAAGCACUAGUCAUAUAUCACAUGAAAUGAAAUAACGUUGCUUAAUUUCAUGCCACAAUAUGCAGAUACUCUGUCUGCACUGAUGAAGAUUCAUCUCACUUCGGGAUGCCUAAUGGUCAUAGAUGGUCUGACAUACUCUAACCCACUUUGAGAUUAUUCAUGUAAUAACUAUUUGACCACUUGUAGGCACUCAUAGACUUUGAAUAGGGCAUUUAACUUUUAUCAAUGGAACAUUAGACAGGAAAACAUUUAAAACAUGGAUAUAUUUCAAAGAUGUGACAGGACCUGAUGCGCUACAAAUGCUCUUUAUUUUUUCCACACUUGGACCCACGUAGCAAGUCUUGCCAGUGGCAAGAUUACAGCAGCUUUAUGAAAAUUCAAAGCAAUGUUCAAAUCCACUUCUGCAGGAAGUCUAACACCUCUACCACCAACUACACAUUGUAUUAAUGCAGCAAAAACACACUUGGCAUUAAAGAAAUCAAAGACGCAGAUAUUUUUACUAUUGUUUUUUUGCCCUCUAUCUUUGUUUAAAAAGCGAUAAUUUAUUAACUGACUGCACAAAUUCAGGGAAGCCUGUGAAUACAUUAAAUAGAAAAAAGGUUAUUUAAAUUCACCCGCGUUUAAUCUUUUAUAGACCCCUCUAAUUCAUAUCAACCUUGGAUAACACACAAAAAGAGCUAUCUCCUUGUUACCACCCUGGGAUGAAUAUUGACUGAUGACUUUCAUUUUCAGCUAUCGGCCCUGAUGCUAAUUUUACAUAUUUUUUAAUUAACUCCAGGUAUUCUUGGAGAAGACUAACUGAUUAGAAGCUGCAGAAGGGUUAAGGUUUCACCAUCCUAGACCUCAGCACAGCUAUUCCGCUUAUUCUUUAAUCCUUCCCGGGCCGCUGUGUCGAGAUCUGCUCUGUUGGAGGAUGAUGAUGAGACUCCCCACAGGGAUAAUGACAUCUAAGAGUGUCUCUCCAACGGAUGUCCCCUGGAUUUAAUGCCAUCCAACGCUUAGCCCGAAAGAGAUGUGCAGCCCCGAGACAGCAGCACAACACAGUGACAUGCGUGGACAGCCAGCUUGGCCAGUUCGACAGGCAGCAGCCGCUGAGAUACACAAAGAGACAGUUAGUCAGACUGGCCGACUAACCGGCAGACAUCUGGCAAGAAAAGAAGCAGCCCAGACAUGAACAAACACACUGACACAGGUGAAAAACUACAUGAGGUGGAUGGCAUCAGAGUAAGACCAGACUCCACAAAGCUUCCAAUCCACCCCUAGUAUCGGGGGAAUAUCUACUGCUGUCAAUAUAAAACUAUCAUGAUGAUGUCAUACAGUAUAUUAUUUGACAUGUUAUCAGCUAGCUAUGGAAAAACCACUCAACCUGUAAUGAAAAGGACCACUUUUCAUGAAAAUAUUAUUUUCUUAGGGGCAAUCAAGUGAUCACCUAUAGUGUAGCCAAAGGUUUUGAGACAAACAGUUUUAGCAAAUUUUUACAGUGGCAACUUGCGCUGAGCCUGUGUUGCUAUGAUGAGUGUUCAGAUGAAAUGCAUAUAUUGAAAAAUAAAUAAAAAUUCACUUCAUCGUGAAAAACUCAUAUGCACCGUGUUUAUCCCUGCAGCAAAAUGACCUGCUGGCUUCAUUUAAAUGAUCUCAGGAGAAACUGUUAACGAGGACAGGGCCGCCGAUAUCGAUGUCAUUUUGAUUGAAUCAGAGAAGCAGAAUGACUCCUUUAAAAAGCAGGGCGCAUUCUUCUUUUGUCAACCAUGGUUACCUCCAAAGAUACAUGUGCUGUCAUUACUGCUUUGCAUCAAAAUUGCUUCACAGGUAGAGCUAUUGUUGCUAUUAAUAUUGCACCCAAAUCCAAUAGUUAUUUAAUCAUCGAGAAUUUUAAGGAGAGAGUUUUAGUUGCUGGCAAGAAGGCUUCAGUUUGACCAGGAAGGCUCAGCGGGUGCCAGGACUGUGCCCUAAAGAGGAUUCAACUAAGGGAUCGGCUUGCCACCAAUACAGAGCUUGCUCAGAAAUGGCAGCAGACAGCUGGAGACGUUUGGACAACAGAACGGUUUCAAGAAGGGCAGCAAAUGAGAGACUAUCUCAAAGAAAAAAGACAAGACUGAUAUUCUGUACAAGCCAGGACUAAGUAUGGCUGUAAGGUCUGGACUCCAGAAGACUGAAAUAAGGUUAUUUUCUUUGAAGAGGCUUCUUUCAGACUGUCUGAGACAUAAAAAAAAUAAAUUAAUAAAUAAA